rnacentral:piRNA from 1 species
UAAAUUGAAAUUUAAAAAAAC